CUUAUAUAACAUUGACGAAAUCUUGUUAUCAAGUGUGUUAUUAAGAAGGUUGCACCAAAAUUUUAUCAUCCGUAAUUUAACGUAUAAAGACAUCGGAUAUCUUCCCAAUUCCCCGUAAACCAUAAAAUUUGGAGUCGAUCUUUUUAACCGUAAAACAUGCUUACAAAAACUCAAAUGUACUCUUUCCAAAAUGUCAAGAUUUUCGUAUCCCCAGAUUUCGGCCCCAUAUAAGAGUAUAGGUAAAACAGCUUUGUCAAACAUAUCGAGCUGGCAUUCUAUAGAUAGAUGGUUUGAUCUACACUUCUUAAUAACAC
rnacentral:lncRNA from 1 species